rnacentral:tRNA from 1 species
GGGAAGGUGGCUCAGUGGUAGAGUGCUUGCUUCACAUGCAUUAAGCCCUGGGUUCAAUUCCUAGCUCCA